GUAUUUUAACCAGCGUGGAAAAACACAUAGUUGAGUUAUGUAACAUUGUACUUCACAAGAUUUAUAAUACAUUUUGUAAUUGAAUCAAAUUGUUAGUAUUGUUUGACAGAUGAUGGCUCGUCUAUUUCUGAGCCUGUGUUUGUGGUUGCUAACAUUAAUGCAAUGUUCAUCAUUUAGUGUGAAAUACGCUCUGGAGAGGGUGGAUAGUGUUGAAAGCAGACUUGAAGCGAUUCACAAGUUGCGACGUGCUGAUCUCGCGGAAAUAUUCAGCAGGAUGUAUGCAUUAGACAACAAACUGAACACGUUAAAUAUGAAAAAGGGUGACUGUAACAGCGAGAGAAAGAUGGAAGUAGUAAAUGACAAAGAGAGCAAAAGAAUUGCUAAUUAUCUUCUAAAAGGGGCGGCCUCGGAAAAACUUGAAAACAUUAAAACAAGAGAGAUGCUGACAAAUAUGUUGAAAUCUGUUGCAGAUAAUAGUACAAACAAUAUAGUGCAGUUACAAAACAUAAUGCAUGAAUUGGAAAACAAAAUGGCAACAUUGGUUAACAAAGAGUUGUUGGACACAACAAUGGAGAACAUGAAGAAACAAUGGGCAAGUGAAAUAGAAUCACUCAGGUCAGAGAUGGAAUUAAGGAUUAAUAUAUCUUUUAUGAAAAUUGUCAAAAAAUUUUUGAACUUUGCGGCAGUUCAGCCAGCAAAAAGACCAGGAACAUCGCUUGCUUGUUGCCCAAUACCAGAGCCUGAGGGACCUUACACCACAGCAGAGAUCACAACAGCUAAACAGAUAGAGUUCCCUGCAGAAACAACAACAACUAUGGCUCUACCUCCGCCAGGUAGAUGUGCUCUAGAUGUGGUGGAUCCGGUGGAUGUCACCGAGGAUGAUCAACGAGGGUACUACUUUGGAGCAUAUCCCAACAGUAGACUGGAAUAUGACCGUUUACCAGUAUCACUUAGAAUAAUAGCUACAUUGAGUAUGGAGUUUAGAACAACACAGCCUGAUGGAGUGAUGUUUUACUUUUCUGAUGUAAUGCACAGAGAUCACAUUGGUGUGACAAUGAAAGGUGGAAUGAUUCGCUUUACCUUUGAUAGUGGUACCGGUACAGGUGAACUCAUGACUACAAAAACAUAUAACGAUGGGCACUGGCAUAAGUUGAUGAUUGGCCGUAACAUGAGAGAGGGUACCAUGAUGGUUGAUGAUGAUGAACUUACACCAGUUGAGUCAGCAGGACGUGCUCGAACUAUCAAUGGUAGACCGCCAUACAGUUUUGGAGGUUUAAGGGAAAGUCCAGUUGCAGGCGCUGUGAAAAACCUCAAUGGUGUAACCAACAGUUUUGCGGGUUGUAUUGCCAAUAUCAAGUUGAACAAUCGAGAUAUUGGAGCAGCUCCAGUACAGAAUGGUACCCUGCCUUGCUCAGACUUCACUUAUAAUGGUGCCUACUUCUACAAUGAUGGUGGAUACAUCAAACUUAUGGAUUCAUUCAAUGUAAAGAAGAAGAUGACGAUGUCAGUAGAGAUACGUCCCCGCAGUUUGAAUGGUGUAAUCUUCUCUGUGUAUGGAAAAAGAGAUUUUUUAAUAUUGCAGCUGGUGGAAGGGGAGCUUUGGUUCACGGCUGAAAAUUAUGCAGUACCCUUUACUGCCAAGUAUAUUCCUGAAAUGAACAACAAGCUUUGUGAUGGUGCCUGGCACACAAUUAAAGCUGAGAAGAUAAGGAAUGUUGUGAUACUGGCUGUAGAUGAUAAAGAAUCUAUCACUGAAAUCAGUGCUGGUAGAGCCACUUCAGCUCAUACAAACAGCCCCAUAUAUCUUGGUGGAAAACCAGAUGACAUCACAAAGGGUGUAAGAGCAAAGGGAGACUACAAAGGUUGUAUGCGAAAUCUCUCGAUCAACGGGAAAUAUCAAUAUCUCAAUACUGGAAUUGCCUUCAAGGACGUCAGUCUAGACUCAUGCCCAGUAAACUAAAACACGAGAUAAAGAGGGACACAAAUGCUCGAUUCAGUGGACAAUGAAUAAAUUAGAAAUGGUUUCUCUGUUUUUACAUAUGAACCAGUGAUAUAAUGCUCAGUUUUAAUUUGUAAAACUUCAAAAUU
rnacentral:misc_RNA from 1 species